rnacentral:rRNA from 1 species
UACAGAGGGUGCAAGCGUUAAUCGGAAUUACUGGGCGUAAAGCGCGCGUAGGUGGUUUGUUAAGUUGGAUGUGAAAGCCCCGGGCUCAACCUGGGAACUGCAUCCAAAACUGGCAAGCUAGAGUACGGUAGAGGGUGGUGGAAUUUCCUGUGUAGCGGUGAAAUGCGUAGAUAUAGGAAGGAACACCAGUGGCGAAGGCGACCGCCUGGACUGAUACUGACGCUGAGGUGCGAAAGCGUGGGGAGCAAACAGG